ACUUCCUAAUGGAGGAGAGUUUGUGAGACAUGGUCAUCUGGGAAACUUUCUGAUGUAUGUUGUAUGUUUCAUACCUCUUUCAGUGCAGUCCAGUCGAGCUCCAGAGUUUUGGUUUGAGCUGUUUCCUCAUCAUACCUGAGACAGUAAAGGAGGAGAGAAUGUGCAGUGAGAGAGUCUGAUAUUCUGUGGAUUCACCUGGCUUGAACAUCCUCAAUAAUGCCUUUAUAGUGCUCAAUCUCAGCAAUGAUGGCCUCUUUAGUAGCGGUGAGGCUGUCAAUCUGGGAUUUAUACGUUCCGAUGGCAGAGGUCAGAAGGAUGGAAGUGCUGGCAGGUCCGCCCUGCUCUGGGCGUGUGACCUGCACUGUGUCCGGCGAUGGGAGUGUUGGAUCGAUGCUGGGCAUUGGACCGGCACCUGUGUCUACCGUAGUGGAAGAGCUGAUGAAGGAUGGGUUGAAACCAUAGCCUCCGAUUUUGAAGACUCU